ACCUGUCUCUACGUGGGAGUAGACUAAAAGUCUCCCAUGCAUGUAUGCUUUUCAUAUUAUUCUGGCGUAACUCGCCGUGAAAAAACUACUUGUGAAGCACGAUAAGUGGAUCUUUUGAAAAUUACCGAAGUGAAAAACAUGACCGUUUUCUAACAAGGUGUAAAAAAAGGCGCGUGCAUUCAACAGCUUUCGAACGGUUGUUUAUGAAAUGGAAGGUGUCAGGAGACACGUCUUCUUAACAGGUUUUAUAUGAGCGAAAUAAUGGCAGCUUGUAGAGAAAGGGAUUUGAAUGAGGGGAAAGUUGACACCCUUUCAACUGGGAAGUAAGUUUCUCGUUAGUGAGCCAUUAAUCAUUCCGAGACAACCAGACUGACAGAAAAGAUUCAGCUAUUUCUACUGCUGAGUAAAAAUACAGACGUGAGAACAUUCUCCAACAUCGAUAGCCACACACUUUGGAAGUUGAUGAUACAAUUGUCUAAGAAUGGAUGCCGCGAUCAUUCGUUUGCAGUUCAAGUAUAGAAUGCAUACUUCGUGCAUGCUUUGUACGUUCAAUUCUGAAAUUGCGUAGCAAAGGAGGCGCAGUCUUAACCGAGUUUAUGAUAAUCGUUGACUAGGAUCUCGUCGGUCAUCACAAAAAUUGUUAUUCAAAACAUCACAUGGAUGUUAGAAUAACACUCGGAUGACGAAGCUCCUUUAAAAUAACAAACCAUAGAAAGCUGGCUAGAAUAAUAUACCUAAUAAUUUCACUAGAAGUUAACAAGAAUUAUUUGUUUGUAAGAACGCAACAUUUAUUAUUUUAG